CCUACGGGCGGCAGCAGUGAGGAAUAUUGGUCAAUGGACGCAAGUCUGAACCAGCCAUGCCGCGUGCAGGAAGACGGCUCUAUGAGUUGUAAACUGCUUUUGUACGAGGGUAAACGCAGAUACGUGUAUCUGUCUGAAAGUAUCGUACGAAUAAGGAUCGGCUAACUCCGUGCCAGCAGCCGCGGUAAUACGGAGGAUUCAAGCGUUAUCCGGAUUUAUUGGGUUUAAAGGGUGCGUAGGCGGUCGGAUAAGUUAGAGAUGAAAUCCCGAGGCUCAACUUCGGAAUUGCCUCUGAUACUGUUCGGCUAGAGAGUAGUUGCGGUAGGCGGAAUGUAUGGUGUAGCGGUGAAAUGCUUAGAGAUCAUACAGAACACCGAUUGCGAAGGCAGCGUACCGGCUCCACACUGACGCUGAGGCACGAAAGCGUGGGUAUCGAACAGGAUUAGAUACCCUGGUAGUC
rnacentral:rRNA from 1 species